rnacentral:lncRNA from 1 species
GGAGCAGAGGCUCUGCGUGGAGCAUCCAUGUGCAGUACUCUUAGGAGAGUUUGACCCAGAUACUCAUGGACCAGGCAAAGGUGCUGUUCCUCCCAGCCCAGGGCCCACCAUGAAGCAUGCCUGGGAGCCUGGUAAGGACCCAGCCACUCCUGGGCUGUUGACAUUGGCUUCUCUUGCCCAGCAUUGUAGCCACGCCACUGCAUUGUACUGUGAGAUAAGUCAAGGUGGGCUCACCAGGACCUGCACUAAAUUGUGAAAUUCAGCUCCAAAGAACUUUGGAAAUUACCCAUGCAUUUAAGCAAAAUGAAUGAUACCUGAGCAAACCCUUUCACAUUGGCACAAGUUACAAUCCUGUCUCAUCCUCUUGAUUACAAAUUCCAUCCAGGCAAGAGCUGUAUCACCCUGAGGUCUCCCCAUUCAUGUUUUGGUCAAUAAUAUUUAGUUUCCUUUUGAAAAUAGAUUUUUGUGUUACUCCAUUAUGAUGGGCAGAGGCCAGAUGCUUAUAUUCUAUUUAAAUGACU